GAUGAACGCUGACAGAAUGCUUAACACAUGCAAGUCAACUUGAACUUCGGUUUGGGUGGCGGACGGGUGAGUAACGCGUAAAGAACUUGCCUCACAGUUAGGGACAACAUUUGGAAACGAAUGCUAAUACCUGAUAUUAUGAUUUUAGGGCAUCCUAGAAUUAUGAAAGCUAUAUGCGCUGUGAGAGAGCUUUGCGUCCCAUUAGCUAGUUGGAGAGGUAACGGCUCACCAAGGCGAUGAUGGGUAGCCGGCCUGAGAGGGUGAACGGCCACAAGGGGACUGAGACACGGCCCUUACUCCUACGGGAGGCAGCAGUGGGGAAUAUUGGACAAUGGACCAAGAGUCUGAUCCAGCAAUUCUGUGUGCACGAUGAAGUUUUUCGGAAUGUAAAGUGCUUUCAGUUGGGAAGAAAAAAAUGACGAUACCAACAGAAGAAGUGACGGCUAAAUACGCG
rnacentral:rRNA from 1 species